rnacentral:rRNA from 1 species
UACGUAGGGUGCAAGCGUUGCCCGGAUUUAUUGGGCGUAAAGGGCGCGCAGGCGGCUACGCACGUCCGUUGUGAAAUCGCUCGGCUCAACUGGGCGGGGUCAGCGGGAUACGGCGUAGCUGGAGCAAGCUAGGGGGCAAUGGAAUUCCCGGUGGUAGUGGUGGAAUGCGUAGAUAUCGGGAGGAACACCGAUGGCGAAGGCAGUUCUCUGGGCCGUAACUGACGCUGAGGAGCGAAAGCGUGGGGAGCGAACAGG